rnacentral:rRNA from 1 species
UCCCCUAGUAACUGCGAGUGAAGCGGGAAAAGCUCAAAUUUAAAAUCUGGCGGUCUUUGGCCGUCCGAGUUGUAGUCUGGAGAAGUGCUUUCCGCGCUGGACCGUGUAUAAGUCUCUUGGAACAGAGCGUCAUAGAGGGUGAGAAUCCCGUCUUUGACACGGACUACCAGUGCUUUGUGAUGCGCUCUCAAAGAGUCGAGUUGUUUGGGAAUGCAGCUCAAAAUGGGUGGUGAAUUCCAUCUAAAGCUAAAUAUUGGCGAGAGACCGAUAGCGAACAAGUACCGUGAGGGAAAGAUGAAAAGCACUUUGGAAAGAGAGUUAAACAGUACGUGAAAUUGCUGAAAGGGAAACGCUUGAAGUCAGUCGCGUUGUCCGGAACUCAGCCUUGCUUUUGCUUGGUGCACUUUCCGGAUUGACGGGUCAGCAUCGAUUUUGACCGUCGGAAAAGGGCUGGAGUAAUGUGGCACCUCCGGGUGUGUUAUAGACUCCAGUCGCAUACGGCGGUUGGGAUCGAGGAACGCAGCGCGCCGCAAGGCAGGGGUUCGCCCACUUUCGCGCUUAGGAUGCUGGCAUAAUGGCUUUAAACGACCCGUCUUGAAACACGGACCAAGGAGUCUAACAUACCUGCGAGUGUUUGGGUGGAAAACCCGAGCGCGUAAUGAAAGUGAAAGUUGAGACCUCUGUCGUGGAGGGCAUCGACGCCCGGACCUGACGUUUACUGACGGUUCCGCGGUAGAGCAUGUAUGUUGGGACCCGAAAGAUGGUGAACUAUGCCUGAAUAGGGUGAAGCCAGAGGAAACUCUGGUGGAGGCUCGUAGCGAUUCUGACGUGCAAAUCGAUCGUCAAAUUUGGGUAUAGGGGCGAAAGACUAAUCGAACC